CCCUUAGAUGUUCUGGGCCGCACGCGCGCUACACUGACUGACUCAACGAGUUUACAACCUGUGCCGAAAGGUAUGGGUAAUCUUUUGAAAUUCAGUCGUGAUGGGGCUAGAUUAUUGCAACUAUUAAUCUUCAACGAGGAAUGCCUAGUAAGCGCGAAUCAUCAGUUCGCGUUGAUUACGUCCCUGCCCUUUGUACACACCGCCCGUCGCUCCUACCGAUUGAAUGGUCCGGUGAAAUCUCGGGACGGCGGCUUGGUCGCUUGCGUCCGACUGCUGAAACUUGAUUAAACCAUAUCAUUUAGAGGAAGGUGAAGUCGUAACA
rnacentral:rRNA from 1 species